GACGAACGCUGGCGGCGUGCUUAACACAUGCAAGUCGAACGAAGAGCGAUGGAAGCUUGCUUCUAUCAAUCUUAGUGGCGAACGGGUGAGUAACGCGUAAUCAACCUGCCCUUCAGAGGGGGACAACAGUUGGAAACGACUGCUAAUACCGCAUACGAUCUAACCUCGGCAUCGAGGAUGGAUGAAAGGUGGCCUCUAUUUAUAAGCUAUCACUGAAGGAGGGGAUUGCGUCUGAUUAGCUAGUUGGAGGGGUAACGGCCCACCAAGGCGAUGAUCAGUAGCCGGUCUGAGAGGAUGAACGGCCACAUUGGGACUGAGACACGGCCCAGACUCCUACGGGAGGCAGCAGUGGGGAAUCUUCCGCAAUGGACGAAAGUCUGACGGAGCAACGCCGCGUGAGUGAUGACGGCCUUCGGGUUGUAAAGCUCUGUUAAUCGGGACGAAAGGCCUUCUUGCGAACAGUUAG
rnacentral:rRNA from 1 species